rnacentral:rRNA from 1 species
CAGAGGGUUUGAUUCUGGGCUCUCCAGAUUGAACGCUGGCGGAUGCUUUACAAGGCGGUCGAAUGGCAGCACGGACUUCGGUUCAGCGGCGAGUGGCGAACGGGUGAGUAAUGAAUGAACGUGCCUAGGUAGCGGGGGAUAACUACGCGAAAGCGUAGCUAAUACCUGCCACCGCCCUUCGGGGAAAGCGGGGACCUUUCGGGCCUCGCACUAUUAGAGCGGUUGACACAUCGGAUUAGCCAGCUGGACAGGUGAACGGCUCACCAAAGACGUGAUCCAGAAGCUGGUUUGGAGAGGAAUGACCAGCCACACUGGGACUGAGACACGGCCCAGACUCCUACGGAGGCAGCAGUGGGGAAUUUUGGAUAAUGGGGGAAACCCUGAUCCAGCUAUCUUAUGUGUGUGCGAUGAAGGCUCCUCGGGUUAAAGCACUUUGGCAGGAAAGAAACGGCACGAUAAUACCCGCAACUGGACGCACCUGCAGAAUAAGCACCUCGGCUAACUACGCCAGCAGCCGCGGUAAUACGUAGGGUGCAAGCGUUAAUCGAAUUACCGGUAGCGUGUGCAGGCGGUUCGGAGCAAAGAUGAAAUCCCAGAGCUUAACUUUGAACUGCAUUUUUAACUACCGGAGCUAGAGCAGGUCAGAGGGAGGUGGAAUUCCGCGUGGAAGUAGUGAAAUGCGUAGAUAUGAGGAACACCGAUGGCGAAGGCAGCCUCCUGGGAUAACACCGACGCUCAUGCACGAAAGCGUGGGGAGCAAACAGGAUUAGAUACCCUGGUAGUCCACGCCCUAAACGAUGUCAACUAGCUGCCGGGGCCUUCGCCUUGGUAGCGCAGCUAACGCGUGAAGUUGACCGCCUGGGGAGUACGGUCGCAAGAUUAAAACUCAAAGGAAUUGACGGGGACCCGCACAAGCGGUGGAUGAUGGAUUAAUUCGAUGCAACGCGAAAAACCUUACCUACUCCUUGACAUGUCUGGAAUCCCGAAGAGAUUUGGGAGCAGCCGCAAGAGAACUGAACACAGGUGCUGCAUGGUUGUCGUCACUGUAAGUCAGAGAUGUUGGGUUAAAAGUCCUUUAUGAACGAGCGCAACCCUUGUCAUUAGUUGCUACGAAAGGGCAACUCCUAACGAGACUGCCGGUGACAAACCGAGGAAGGUGGGGAUGACGUCAAGUCCUCAUGGCCCUUAUGGUAGGGUCACACGUCAUACAAUGGUCGGGACAGAGGGUCGCCAUUCCGCGAGGGGGAGCCAAUCCCAGAAACCCGACCGUAGUCCGGCUGGAUCGCAGUCUGCAACUCGACUGCGUGAAGUCGGAAUCGCCAGUAAUCGCGGAUCAGGCAUGUCGCGGUGAAUACGUUCCCGGGUCUUGUACACACCGCCCGCCGCACCAUGGAGGUUUUACCAGAAGGCGUAGUUACCUAACCGUAAGGAGGGCGAUUACCACGGUAGGAUUCAUGACUGGGGUGACGUAACAGGUAA